rnacentral:lncRNA from 1 species
GACUCAUAUAUUCCAUCUGAAGCUUUAAGAUGCAUACAAGUUGGUCUUUUAUGUCUACAACUUCAUCCAAAUGAUAGACCAAAUAUGACAUAUGUGCUUGCGAUGUUGACGAAUGAAAGUGUUUUAGCCCAACCAAAGGAACCUGGUUUCAUAAUACAAAGGGUCUCUAAUGAGGGAGAAUCUACAACGAAGCCUUUCUCAAUGAAUGAGGUUACUAUUUCGGUAAUAGAUGCUAGAUGAAAAACAUAUAUCAAUGGACGUUUAGUUCCGUCAACUUUGAUUAGAUAUACCAAUGGAAAAAUUUCAUCUCAAUAGCCUAUAGCUACAGUAGUUUUGGACAACAAAAUGUGAGACUUAUACCUACGGUCAAUGACACUUAUUGAGUUAUUUUAUGAAAAAUGUUACAUGAACACCCUUUAUUCCUGCACCUCAUUGUACACCUAAUGUAUUAGGAUAUUUUUGUAGGUUCAUCUCACAAUAUCUUCUAUUUGUGUGGAGUUCAGGUUGCCACGUGUCAGAAUUUUGUGUGGAUGUAAAGGGUGUAUUGCCACAUGAGGUGGUACAUGUAUCAUCACUCUUAUUUUAUCCAUAGCAGUUUUCCAUUGGUAGGUUUGAGAAUAUUUUUUUAGUAUAUAUAAAUAGUUUUUCGACUCAAAUAAUUCUUUCAUAUUUUUCAUUAUGAUUGAGACCGUAGGGAGUAGUAGGCUUUAAUAUGUUUUUCGUCCAUGCAAUUAGGGGUCAUUUAAAAAUUGGUCCCUGUAAUCGUUAAUCUGGUAAAUUAACCUUGUAAAGUUUAAUCAUUUAAAAUUUCGUCCCUACACCCAUUUAAUUAUUGUCAUGUCAUCAAAUUAGCAAGAUGGCACGGGAAUGGACAAAAAUACUCUCAUCAUCCUUCUCCAAACAAUCUCUCUUCUUCUCUUUCCCUUCCAUCAAACACAACAACCUUAAAAAUUAACUUGCCUCCUCAACUACGAACCAGAGAAAUAUGAAAGGUAGGUGUUAUAUUGGCUUUCAUAUUUUUUACUUUCAUAUGCGAUGAAAUGUCUCCUUGUGUAAGAUUUUGUUGUAUGCUUUUUUCCAUAAUCAAAAUAUCAUUAUAAGAUUUUUUUCUAGUUACUAUAAUAGUUAAUUAAUAUGAUUCUUUUGAUAUGCUUUCUAUCCUCUAAUUGAGUUUCACAGGGUAAAAAGCCUUCACUACAAAUCAAAUCAUUCUCAUAGGUUUCAUGUUUGUUUUCCUGCUUGUUACGGCUCGAUUAACCUGCGCUAGGCAUCCCCCCUUUUAUCAAUAAAAUUCCAACAUACCCAUGUUUUUUUCAACUUCCAACAGUAUUGCUCUCACUUAAUUGGUUUGCAUAAAAAAAAACACCUGAAACUGAAAGCUGAAACACUUGGUUUGCAUAAUCCAACAACAUUGCUCUCACUUGGAAGAUGAAAUCGAAAGCUGAAACUGAAUUGAAACAAAAUUGAAAUUGAAAUCAGUAGAAUCGAUGUUCAUGUGAAUCGAUGAAGAAGAAAUUGGAAUGGAAGAAGAAGGUCUUGAUGGAUGUUCAUGUGAAUCGAUGUUUUUUUUUUCAAUUUAGGAAUGAAUGUUUUGUUGCAGAUCCAUUGAGAAGAGGAAGAGGGAAUGAGAAGAAGAUGAAGACAGGGGCAAUACUGUCAUUUCACGUGUGGGUUGGCCAAUUAAAGUCAUUAAACGGGUCAUGGGACGAAAUUUUAAAAGAUUAAACUUUGCAAGGCUAAUUUGCCAGGAUUAACGAUUACAGGGACCAAUUUUUAAAUGACCCCUAAUUGCAGGGAUGAAACACAUAUUAAAGCCUACAAAGUAUUAUUAUGCAAGCCCCUAAACCACUUGAAAAUUGUCGGGAAUUUGAAUCUCAACGUUUUACCAUAAAGAUUCCCAUCAUAACAAUCUGGAGCAGUGUCGUGAUCCAAAAUAAUUUUCAAUAUCUGAAAGGUGGACUUCUUAUCCAUCCGCUUGUCACUUUUGGAAAUGUUGUAUCAUAUGACUGUUCGGCCAUAAUGACCGUCCAACAUCAACCAAUAGCCUUGUAAACAUUGUCCAUCUCUUUUACGUUGUAACAACACACAAUCGGAAAUGGGCGGUGAUUCUCUCUUGAAUUUUAAUUUUGUCAAAUCGACCCAAUUUUGAGUUGUUAGUGAGUACAUCAUCCAACAUAAAACCGUAAGAUUGUGCAUCCACGUUGUCGGAUUUGUCAAAAGAGACAUUCACAUACUGCUCAACCAAACUCUUAAAUUCUUGGUAGCUUAAAACGUGUAUGCGAAGAUAAUCCAUUUUUUCACUCUUUCUCCUGCAUAAAUUUGAAAGCAAAUCAAUAUAUGGGUUUGACGCAAUUUAAGAAGUUGUGCAUAGAAAUAAUAUAAUAAAAGAGUGAGAAGAAGAAGAGAACACACAAGGGAGGCUAGAAGAUUAAAUUACAUUUUGUUGUUCUUCUUCUUGGUUCUUGUUAUUUUGCUCAAUCGCAUGUCCACUCAAGGCAGUAAUGUGGCCAUCAUAACAGUAACAGAGAGAGAGCAGUCAAUUAACAUUUUUUUAUGUGGGCAAACAUUUAGUAAUGUGGUCACAGAUGUUGGAAUCCCAUACAUAGUUCGUGGUGAUUCGAUAAAGAAAGGAGCUGUGGUCAUUGACAUGGGAACAAAUCAAGUUAAGGUAACAACUCAAAAAUUUUUACUUCAAUAUUUUAAGGUUUCCUUUGGAUUCUGAAUGCAUGGAAGUACUUGAAAUUUUUAUUUUUCUAUUUGAAGAACUUGGUGCUAUUUUCAGAUGACUUGUCAAAUAUAUACUCAAAGUUAAAAAGGCACAAACUCAAAGAGGUAUCAUUUAAGGAAGAGAUAGUAAAUUCAACACACUGAUGCUAAAUGUUUGCCCCUUUGAAAUCACUAAUCAUGUUGUUAUGACAAUUCAUUUUGACCAUCCUAAAAUUGUUUCAAAUUGGAUUUCUAUGUUAUAAAUAGGGAGCGUGUACUUAUAUGGACCAGGAAAAAAAAUUGUACUCACAUUGUCAAGUGGUUGUUUUUCCUCUCAACCUACAAACCGGGUUUGCAAGGGUUGAGUUAGACAACCUGGCCUACUUUCUAAGUUGGUAUCAUAGUCUAUACAAGAUCCGUUAGGUCACAUGUUGUCUGAUUAUCGCUAUCAAACCACUUGAGUCACAUUCUAGAUGUCUAGUCCUGGACGUGAGGGUGUGUGUGUUAAGAAUUCCACAUUAGAUGAGAUAUGACUAAAAGCGGUGGAAAAUCAUCACUUUACAUGUCCGUUUUCUAAGGACGAGCUAGUCCCAAUACAAAAUUCUAACAGUUACGCUUAAGUAUGGUUAUUAGUUAUGAAAUUUAACUAAUUUAACAAAGAGACUUGUGGCAUCAUUUAGGUUUCAUUAUGGUAUUAUAAAUUUUUAGAAAAUGCAAUGUAUGAUUGUUGUACCAUAAAAUACGUCUUUGUGAAAAUAGCACACAAAUAUGUACUCUUCUCACCUGGAUUACAGAAACAGUAAAUGGAAGAAAAAUAGAUCACAAUAUGUAAAUAAAUGAGUGUUUUAUUUAUGAAAGUUAAAGGUAAAAUGCAAAAGAUGAAUGUAUCACCCACAAAGCCAUGCCACUACAGAGAACAGUAUUAUUUGUUCAUAGCUAUCAAAAUGGUUUUUCCAAAAAUUUACCCCAUAAUUCUAUCCUCCACCUUCUAUAACAAACUUAAAUAUAUAUCUUCCCUGAUCUCUAAUUUUCCUCAAUUGGUUUUAGUCACUUGACAUUUGACAAUGUAGAAGCUUGAGCCUCAAGCAAAAUGAAUGUAUGUUGCGAUUUGGGAAAGGAAACAAAGAGAAGACAUCAUAUGGGAAAACAUGACAAUUAGGGAAAAGAAAAGACACGUUAGUGCCCUAAAAAUAGUAUGACCCUAAAUUGGUACAAGGAUGGAAAAUGGCAUCAGCCAUUACUCCGGUUCCUGGAGGCGUUUACAGUAUCGAUGUUUCUCUCCAACACACUUGAUUCCGCAAAACGUGCAUUUCGAAUCGUUUGAAAGAAAUUGUUGAUUCACUUCUCCAUGUUAUAGGCAUAGCGUCUGCCGAAAAGCCUAAUAUUCUUUCCUUGAGUGAUGAAGAUGCAUGUUGAUGUCAUGUUACUGUUUCUUUUAACAGGAGUUUGCUAACUAAUUACUAUCAAAUCUCAAGUUGCGAUUUUGAUUCGUUUGCUAUAAGAAUAUUGUUGUAUAUAACAAUGAGUUAAUAAUCAUUUUAGUCUCCCAAUGUUUACCGGGUAGUCACAAUAGUUAAUGUAUCGAAAUUUCAAAAUAGUUCAUGAUUGGACAUUUCCUUAAUCAAAAUAGUACUUGUCUUACGAUGUUCUGAUAAUAUUGUCAUAUUUGUCUCUCAAUAUAUUUAAAUUCAUAAAAGUACUUAUUUAUUGUCAUAUCAAUCCCUUUAUGAAAAGAAUUUUCGUCAAUAUUGAAGGACUGUUUCAACAAUAACUACUUUGACUAACAUAGUGCACAUUCAUGGAUUAUUUUGGAUUUUUGAUACUUUGAAAUACUAAUAUGAGUACUCUUUGCAUAUUCAAGGACUAAAAUGACUAUUACCCCUGUAAUAAUAUAAUUUUUGUAUUCCUAAAAAAAAAACCUAUGUAACAAUUUCUCUCUACUUUUUUUAAACAAACCGAACUUAAUUCGCUUCACUAAUCAACAAAGUCUAUACAAGGAGGAUCACACUCAAAAAUACGUCAACUAAUCCAAAAAAUGGCCGUCCAUUCGAGAGUAUAUGCAAUCAUAUUUGUUUAUCCUCUAACAAACUUAAACUUAAAGUUGGAAUGCAAAAGUAGAAAACUCUUAAUAUUAAAGAAAAAUAUCUCUGUUUUUCUCUUUUUUUUUACCCACAAAUUUCUCUCUUUUAAAAACUUGACAAGCGUGCUUUCAUUGUAUUUCUGUGCGGAUAAAGUCCUGGUUUUAUUUCUCUCAAUUUUAUUUAUUUAUAUUGAUGGUUUAAGACCUCCAACGAAAUAAAAAUGCAAAAACGAUAUUACCCAAAGUUGAACAUGAUAAUACUGGAGGUUGAAAUGGUCCAACCACUAUGCUAUAUUAUAUCAUUUGUUUGAAACAUAAAUGUGAAAACAACUAAAACAUUGGAAACUCGUCGAUUAAAAAAAAGAGUCAAAUUUACACAUAUAUUAUAUCAACCUAAGAGAUGUCUAGGUCACCAGAAACACUUGUUAGAAAAUGUCCAUUGUAUUUGUUGACAUAACACCUUAAGAAAGUCGUAUAUUUUGAAUUACUUAACAAUAAAAUUUGUGUGAAAUGUUUCAUUUUUGCUUCUUCAAAACAAUAGUGUUAGAUGCUUAUCAACGACUUAAUUUAUAAACUUGCGUACCUACUUAAAUUGAAGCAGAAUUUUCUCAGAAAUCUCCAUCUUACCUUACACGUUUUUUUAAAGAAAAUCUUGCAAUACACGUUAUAUCAAUUUUCCAUUAAACAAAAUGACUCUCAAAGUCCCUAACUCAAUUUUUGUCAUUUAUCUUUUUUUUUCACGUUUUUUUUUCUUUUGAUUCGUUUACAUAGUGAUUUUCAAGUAUUAAAUAUAAAAAAAAAUUUAAAAAAAACUAACAAUACAUAAAUGAAAGACCAUAAAUUUAAAUUCUAAAAGCUUUAUAUUAAAAUAAAAUCAUGAUUUGCGCUUGAAAAUUCAUAUGCAAAUUGUUCAAAGGGACCAAAAUAACAUGAAAAGAUAAAUGACGAAAUUGUUAUCUAAAAUAAGUUAAGAGAGGAUGAUAAUCAUUUUGUCUUAAUUAAUUAUUAUUUUGCAUCUUUGCAAGGCCAACCCAAUCAUUUUAAAUAGCAAGUGAGGUUUCAAACAAAAUUUAAUGUACAUGAGGUCUUUUUCUAAAUAUAAAGCAUUUAUUUAUAAAACUAAUGAAAAAUAUUAAUUUUUUUAUUUAAAAGGAUAGUUUUAGUUUAUUCAAAGAAAAUAAAAGAGGUCCUCGUCAGUGUAACUCAGUUGGUAGGGGCAACGCAUAAUAUAUGCAAGGUUCGAAGUUUAAACCUCGGCCACUACCAAAAAAAAAAAAAGAUAGUUUUAGUAGUCUUACUCUUAGGCCAUCGACGCUGCAAUUUAGGUCUACGGAUUCUAGUAACUUUGUUGGAGUCUGGUUGUUCUUGAUUUUCGUUGUCUUAUUUUUUUAGUCAAGUAGCCUAGUGGCUGACGAAAUUCACUUUAAAGAUGAAUAGUGAGGUGUCCGGGGUUCGAACCCCUGCACAUAUUGUACAUUAUCCUUUAACAAAUGAGCUAAGCUCAUGGGGACUGAUUUUCAUUGUCUUACUGGUCAGAUACAUAGAUUAUACGGUACUGUUGCUUUCAAAAUGCAAAAAAAAAAAAAAAAAAAAAAAAAAAAAAAAAAAAAAUUAAGUUUUCUAAUUCUGGUACUCUAAUAUAUAAAUAAAUCAUAUUUCAAACGUUGCCAUUUCUCUUCUUUAGUAAAGGUCGGAUACUUGGAUUAUACGUUGCUGUUGCUGUUGCUUUCAAAAUCCAGAAGAAAAUUAAGUUUUCUAAUUCUGGUACACUAAAUAUGAACAAAUCAUAUUUUGAAUGACAUCCAAAUCAAUGUCUACUCCUAGAUAAAAUAUCCAAAUCGAUCCAAAUAAAAAAAGUAAACCCAUCUAUAUACUUCGAUAUCAUACAAAAUAGCAUUUUGUUAGAUUUUUUUUGUAUAAUUUUUAUAGAAACAAUUCAAAUCACAUAAAUUUUAAAUUAUUUUUUUGAAAUUGAAUCAAGCUUAGACUAUUCCUUUGAUCUCAAAUAUAAACAAAUAUUCCUCUUUUUUCUUCAGAUUUAUUGAAUAAGUGAUGUAUGUAAAUCAUAAUAUUUACUACCUCCGUCCCUAACUAUAGGGCCCUUUUAAAAAAAUAACGGGAAUUAAGAUAGUGGAUAUUUUUAUUAAAUAUCUUUGUAAUUACUAUUGUUUUUACAAUUUUACCCUUUAAGAGAGAGAGAUAGUUUAUGUUUUCAACAUGUUAUUUAUUGCUGAUUGAAGAAAAAAAUGUAUAAUAAAUAGGGACAUGUAUGUAAAGAAAUAAUUAAUGUAGUUGAAAAUAGUAAAAGGAUCUUAUAAAAAGGGACAAAAAAAAAUUCUUAAAAGAUCUUAUAAUUAGGGACGGGAGUAGAAUUUGUUUGAAUGGAUGUUCAUUUUAGUUGGUAUAUACUCAUUUGAAGUAUACACUUUAGUUGGUCCAAAGUUCUAAUGUUACUACGUGUCAUUUUAACAAUGGGAUAGUUGUUAUUCAUCAAUAUAUGACCAAACAUGGUUGUGGUGAUGAUAAUCGAUGAGGACGAUGAUGAGGAAGGAUGGUAGUCGUGACGGAGGCUAGCAGUGACGAGAGAUUUUACGGUGGCUGGUCUAACGGGAGAGAAAACAGAAGAGGUAGAGAAGGAAGAAGGAAGAGGGCAGAUUGGAUUUUUACAAAAUUGCCCCUAUUUUAAUGUUGAAAUGUUAAAAUUAUCCUUGGUAUUGUAUUUGUCAAAUAAUUUGUGUUUGUUUUAUCAUUUCGAAACAAAUGUGUCUCCACCAAUCAAUGUACUUAAUUUCCAACCCGAUGUUGGCCAUUUGUUUUGAAAUUUAAGUUGAAUCUAACUCAACCUUAUAAAACUGAUCGGUAAGUGUUUACCGGUGUUUUUGGUAAACAAUAAAACUAAUUUUAAAUUGCAGGAUCAAACUAGAAAUCCUAGGACAUGUUGUGCAAUGAUUUUCUAGAAAAUAUAUGAAUGUUCAUCAUAUUUAUGAAUUUGCUUAUGAACAAGAUGAAGAAAACUGUUUUAUGUUGAAGCUAAUUACCUUUCGACGGGAAUCAACAAUAUAUUUAAAGAUUAAAAACUUAAAAGACUUCGAAUUCUAAAGGCAAAGAAACUUAAAGGAAAGUAAAUUGCAUUCCAUAAAAUGAAAAACUACUAUAUAUACACAAGAAAAAUAACUACACAGACCAACGGUCAGAAACUAAAUCAUUUCGACAACUUUGGCUUGUUUUCCACGUGUCUGACCCUUCAGUCUUGCCUCUCCAAGGAAUUUGAACUCCUCUAGUCAAACCCUCAAAACCUUGUCGAAACCAUUUUCUGUCGAAAUCAUCAACUUCAUCCUGGACUUAGAGAAUUUCAUGGUUUUGAUUAUCUAGUUACCGGUCAAAAUACACAAACGAAAAUACAUGCUAACAAUAAGGUGAUGAUAUUUUACCGAUAAACACAUGUUCAUGUCUCAUUGUAUACCAUUUGAGACUCUUAAUUAAUAUGUGUUGUCAUGCUCAUGACUUAACAUGUAGAAUAUGAUCCAGGUGAUGGAUAGCGGUGAUCAAAUAGCAUUUGACUCAAAAAAUAUUAGAUAAACUCUUAUAUCAUUUAAAAACUUAACAUGUGGAAUAUGAUCCAGGUGAUCUGAUAGCGGUGAUCAAAUAGCAUUUAACUUAAAAAAAUAGACACUAAUAUCAUUUAAAAAUUUAGAUUGGACUCACCUUAACACUUACAUAAUUGUCUUGUAAAAUAAAAAUUCUCUCCAAGACAUGUUCAUGAUUUAUCUUAGUUUAUGCUAUCAUAUACAUGUAAUUUCAAUAUUAACUAUCAUCUUUUUGCUAGAUUUAAUAAAAGAAAAAGACAUUAGUUAAUCUUAUAAAGUUACCUCUCUAUAAUAUACACCAUCCUCCAAUCAUUAUUAAAAGUACGAGUCAACUUUUUAAGUUCAUUCAAUAAAUGAUGUAUGUGGUAUAUAUAAUAGACCAUGUACAUCAUUUAUUGAAUGAAUCUAAAAAGUGAAUUUUUACUUAUAGGGAAAUGCUAACCUAAAACAUAAAACUUUCUUUUUUCGGCUUCCUAAACUAUUGUCCUAAGGGCACCGGUUAACAUAACCCUUAUUUAUAAUAUGAUCGGAGGAUGUCCAGACACAAAGUUUAGUCCCAAAGUCAAUUUAACAUGUUUUUUUCUUUUUUUAAGGAAAGUCAAUUUAGCAUAUAUAAACGCACAAACAUAAAAUGUGUGUCUGCCUCAAACUCAAUCAAUGCAAAAUGACCAAUAUUCUUCCUAUGAUAUUGUUUGUUAUUCUUAGUCUCCUGUUGUUCUUCUUUCAAUUAUCUACUUCAAUUGAUACCAUCACCCAAUUUCAAUCUCUUCAUGAUGGCAACACUUUGGUUUCUAAUGAUGGAACCUUUGAGUUAGGAUUUUUCACACCAGGUAGUUCCACAAAUCGCUAUGUGGGAAUAUGGUACAAAAAUAUGCCUAAUAGAAUAGUUUGGGUUGCAAACCGUGAUGAUCCAAUCAAAGACAACACCUCCAACUCAACCAUGUUGAUCAUGAGCAAUGAUGGAAACCUUGAAAUACUUACCAACAACAAUCAAACACUUGUUUGGUCAACAAACAUCACAACACAAUCUUUGUCAACUACAAGUUCUCAUGUUGCUCAACUAUUAGACAAUGGAAACUUUGUAAUCAAAGCCAACAACAAUACUGAUCAACAAAGUAAUAAUUUCUUAUGGCAAGGUUUUGAUUUUCCUUGUGAUACUUUGUUGCCAGACAUGAAGCUUGGAUGGGACCUAAAAACCGGUCUUAAUCGUCAAUUAACUUCAUGGAAAAGUUGGGACGAUCCAUCUUCGGGAGAUUUAACUUGGGGUAUUGUCCUUAGUAGUAAUCCAGAAGUUGUAUUGAAAAAAGGAUCAGUUGAGAUUCAUAGAACUGGCCCUUGGAAUGGAGUUGGAUUUAGUGGAGCACCUGUGGAGAUUGUUACUUCAAUUGUUGUAAUUACAACGUCGGUGAACAAUUCAAAUGAAGUUUAUUACAUAUAUAGUCUUGUAAACAAGAGUAAUGUUUCAAUAACUUAUUUGAACCAAACAACUAGUCAUCGCGAACGUGUUAAUUGGAUUCCAGAAGACGAUACUUGGAGUGUUAUUGAGUCGUUGCCAAAAGAUGAUUGUGAUGUCUAUAAUCGUUGUGGCCCUUAUGGAAAUUGCGUUCAUAACGAGUCUCCAAUUUGCCAAUGUUUAGAUGGGUUUGAGCCUAAAUCGCCAAAAAAUUGGGACGCAUCAAAUUGGACACAAGGAUGUGUGCGCAAAGGUGACGAAGAUUGGAGAUGUGGAGUGAAUGAUAGUUUUGUAAGAUUUUAUGGAUUGAAAUUGCCAGAUACAUCACAUACUUGGGUUGAUGCAAAUAUGACACUUGAGAAUUGUAAGAAUAAAUGCUUGGAAGAUUGUUCUUGCAUGGCUUAUUCAAACUUGGAUGUGGCUGGAGAUGGUAGUGGUUGUUCUAUAUGGUUUGGUGAUCUUAUAGACUUGAAACAGAUUUCAUCAUUCCAACAAUAUCUAUAUAUUCGAAUGGAUGCUUCCACAGUAGGUAAAUGCUAUGUUCUUCUCACACAUUUAUGCAUUUUUUAUGGAUUAUAUAUGUCUAGUCUUUAACUAUAUGGUUUUAGUAAAUGAUUAAUUUGUUUACCUAAGUUUUGUCUCUUGUCAAUUUAACUUGCACAAAAUUGAUCCUAAAACAUUCUGAACCAUCUGUCAAUAGUUUAUUCUAGGCUUUUAUGAAGCAUUCUAUCAAGAGUCCUUUUUACAUCACACACUACAAAAACACCUUGAUUUUCCUCCAGCCACUAGACUCUCAAAGAUACUGGUGGUUUUUUCUGCCGGAAAUGACACUUUAGGAGGCGCUGCGGUUAAACUUCUUCCGAUGGCACAGCAUUCGCUACUAUUUCCGACAGCCAUGACACAAUAUAAGGGAAAUACAUCUUUGCAAUAUUCUGGAAGUUCGAACCUCAAAUUCCUCAUUUAUUUAUCUACCUAUUAGACUACUUGACAAACAAAAUAUAUAUUACCAAGAAAUUAAUAAGAUAUUUCACUGUAAAAAAAAAUUACGAAGGUCGCAUGACAAAGUUUUAAACAAACCAAAAAGUCAACCCCAUACCAUAUAUAGAGAGAAUAUCAAACAUGUCAUAUAUAUAAAAAAUUAUUUUUUAUGGAAAUGAAAAAAUUAAUUUCAACCUUUCAUUUAAUUAAUGAGUAGUGGUGGUCACGAUUUUCUUAGAUUUGACAAGUAUUCAUUUCUUUUUCAAAAGAUUCAAAUGGAGAUGUUUCUGGUGGGAAGAAAAAUCAUACAUUGGCAAUUGCAGUCACUAUUCCUUUGAUCAUCAUUUUACUGCUGGUGAUCAUAGUCUUCUACGUUUACAAGAGAAAAAGAAAGCAAAGAGGUAAAUUUCUUGACCCAAAUAAAAUAUAUUUCAAUUCAAUGACAUAGAGUUCUUGAAAUUUGUUUCUAAAAAAUGUAUUCUACCUCUUUUCUUUGAUAUAUGACAUUUUCUUUGCUAAUCUCUUUCUAUAUGAAUGCUUUCAAAUGAUUUUCAACAAAAAAUAUCUUUCAAAUUAUAAAUGUAUGCAGUAAUUAUAUCUUUACCAAAAUACCUUAAUUAUUUGUCAAACAAAAUACCUUAAUUAUUGUAAUUUUUAUAAUAGAAAGGUAAAGUCAUUUUUUACAUAAAUAUCUAUCUUGAAAGGUAAAAAUUUAAUAUGGUUAAAAUAUGGUAAAAAUGCAGAUACCAAUGACAUAUUUUUAAGUUUAACUUUAAUUAAUACCCUUUUUAUAGAGGUAAUUUUAAUUAAAGUACUUGAAUAUAAUAUAAGCAGAAAAUUUUAAAUAUAAGAAAAAUGCGAAUAUUAAUUUUUCUAUCUCACAUUUUAUACGAAAAAAGAUUUGUAUUAUAUUUAUUUACUAAGAAAUUUCCAUCAUCGUAUUUUUUUGGUACAAACCAACAUGGUAUUGUAAUUAGUCUCCUUUAAUUAAGAAAAUGUUCAACAAUUUAAACCAACUGAAAUGUUGCAUGAUCUAAUGCAUGCCGCUGCCAGGACUUUGCAUGUAAUAAUAGUAAAUAAAAAUGGAAAAUUCUAUGGUGAAGUAUGAUAAUGAUUUUUCUAGUAAAGUUAAUAUUAUAGUAUCAAAAAUGUAGUGAGUAACAACCUUGUUUUAUCAAUUUAUCAGAUCAACAGGACUACAUUAAAUCUAAUUUUAUCCUACCUUGUUUUAAGUGUAACAUCCCCACAAAGUGUAACACUUAAGACUAUCACAUAACAUCAACAACUCUAUUUGCAUGUUAAAGAUGCCAACGAUAAAAUAGUACAUUAAAUCCAAGAUUUUGCAAGCAUUACUAGAUGAAUUACUAUUGAUCAUUAAUCAAUAAUCAACAAUUUAAAAAUGAAUCAAACAUUAAGAUCAAAAUUAACUUUUUUAAAAAAGUCAGUUUCCUGACUACACCGUAGAUGCUUCCAAUAAAAAUUUGUCAUAAUAAAUACCACAAUGCAAAACAUGUGGUAUUGCAUUGUGGUUUUGCAAAACAUUAUGAGUACAUAGUCUCUUGGAAGGGAAUUAAUGUGCAGAUUUUUUUAGUUAAGUUUAGUGUCUCAUCUAACUUUUAAGUUUUUUUGUUACGAUUUUCUUUAGGCAGAUCUUUUGAAUCUUCUUCAAAAUGAUGCAGUUGAAACUAUUUGUUUGAGAGAGUAACUCUCUUUUUGUUACUUUUGUUUUCCCUUUUUUCUCUAGUUUGUACACCAAAAAAAACAUUAUGAUUACAUCGAAAUUUUGUCCAACAAAAAUUUAUUUUUUAAAAUUUUGUCCAAAAAAAUUUUAUGCCAAUAUUGCAUUGACGUCAUUUACUUAUGGAAGAUAAUUCAGAGAUGAACACUUUAACCGAAAUAAAAUAUGAAGACCAACAAGAUUUUGAGCUUCCUUUGUUCAAUAUUUCUACAAUGAUAAGUGCCACAAAUGACUUUUCGAACUAUAACAAACUUGGAGAAGGUGGCUUUGGACCAGUAUAUAAGGUAAACAUGCAUGCAACAACUUGAAUACAACACAUGAGAAAUCUCUUAGAGUCUCAUUUCCUAACAAUUUUUUCCAACUAUAAUAUUUAGGGUACACUAGCUACAGAUGGGCAAGAGAUUGCCGUCAAAAGGCUUUCAGGAAGUUCAAAACAAGGAUCAAAAGAAUUUAAAAAUGAAGUUAUAUUAUGUGCAAAACUUCAACAUCGAAAUCUUGUUAAGGUUCUUGGUUGUUGCAUUCAAGGAGAAGAGAGAAUGCUUAUCUAUGAAUAUAUGCCCAACAAAAGCUUAGAUUCAUUUCUUUUUGGUAAGUAUCUCUAUUAAGCUUGAACAUUAAUAUAUAUAUAUAUAUAUAUAUAUAUAUAUAUAUAUAUAUAUUUAAAUUUUUGAAAGAAAAUAAUAAAUAAUAUUUAUAUUCUUAAUAGAUCCAGCUCAAAAGAAACUUUUAGAUUGGUUUAAGCGCUUCAACAUCAUUUGUGGAGUUGCUCGUGGACUGAUUUAUCUUCAUCAAGAUUCUAGAUUGAGGAUCAUACAUCGAGAUCUAAAACCAAGUAAUAUUUUAUUAGACAAUGAUAUGAAUGCCAAAAUAUCAGAUUUUGGCUUGGCAAAAAUUUGUGGGGAUGAUCAAGUUGAGGGGAAUACAAAAAGAGUAGUUGGAACACAGUAAGUAGUUUCAUUGAUUUUUAUUUUUUAUUUUUUGAAGAAUCCUUGAUAUUUUGAAGUUAUUUGAAGAAAAAAAAUAAUUCAAAUAUAAUUAACUCAUGUGUACACUUUUCAGUGGUUAUAUGGCUCCAGAAUACGCCAUUGAUGGACUAUUUUCUACAAAAUCUGAUGUAUUUAGCUUUGGUGUAUUAUUACUAGAGAUUGUAAGUGGACAGAAAAAUAAAGGACUUACAUUUCCAAGCAACAACCAUAAUCUUGUUGGGCAUGUAAGUAAACACAAACAACUUUAUAUUCCCUUAAUGAAAUAAUAUAUGACAACUAUUUUUAUUUUUGUAGGCUUGGAGGUUAUGGAAAGAGGGAAAUUCGGAAGAAUUGAUUGAUGAUUGUCUAAGGGACUCAUAUAUUCCAUCUGAAGCUUUAAGAUGCAUACAAGUUGGUCUUUUAUGUCUACAACUUCAUCCAAAUGAUAGACCAAAUAUGACAUAUGUGCUUGCGAUGUUGACAAAUGAAUCUGUUUUAGCCCAACCAAAGGAACCUGGUUUCAUAAUGCAAAGGGUCUCUAAUGAGGGAGAAUCUACAACGAAGUCUUUCUCAAUCAAUGAGGUCACUAUUUCGUUAAUAGGUGCUAGAUGAAAAAAA